rnacentral:rRNA from 1 species
UUAAAUUGAAGAGUUUGAUCAUGGCUCAGGUUGAACGCUGGCGGCAGGCCUAACACAUGCAAGUCGAACGGUAACAGGA